GUUCUGCGGUGAUGAAUUAUGGAUUAAAUUCACAUGUCAGACUUCAGAGAUUGUAAAAAAUCAAUGAGAAUGAAACUUCCUAGCGUCUGAGCAGAUU